rnacentral:rRNA from 1 species
GUGGGGAAUCUUGCGCAAUGGGCGAAAGCCUGACGCAGCAACGCCGCGUGGGGGAUGAAGGCUCUCGGGUUGUAAACCCCUUUCAGCAGGGACGAAUCAAGACGGUACCUGCAGAAGAAGCCCCGGCUAACUACGUGCCAGCAGCCGCGGUAACACGUAGGGGGCAAGCGUUGUCCGGAUUUAUUGGGCGUAAAGAGCUCGUAGGUGGCUGAGUAAGUCGGAUGUCAAAUCCCCAGGCUCAACCUGGGAUCCCAUCCGAUACUGCUCUGGCUAGAGUCCGGUAGGGGAGCGUGGAAUUCCUGGUGUAGCGGUGAAAUGCGCAGAUAUCAGGUGGAACACCAGCGGCGAAGGCGGCGCUCUGGGCCGGUACUGACACUGAGGAGCGAAAGCGUGGGUAGCAAACAGGAUUAGAAACCCGUGUAGUCC